rnacentral:rRNA from 1 species
UACAGAGGGGGCAAGCGUUAUUCGGAAUUAUUGGGCGUAAAGGGCGCGUAGGCGGCCUGGCAAGUGGAAGGUGAAAUCCCUCGGCUUAACCGAGGAACUGCCCUCCAAACUGCUUGGCUUGAGUCCGGGAGAGGUGAGUGGAAUUCCCAGUGUAGCGGUGAAAUGCGCAGAUAUCGGGAGGAACACCAGUAGCGAAGGCGGCACUCUGGGCCGUGACUGACGCUGAGGAGCGAAAGCGUGGGUAGCAAACAGG